rnacentral:rRNA from 1 species
UACAGAGGUCUCAAGCGUUGUUCGGAUUCAUUGGGCGUAAAGGGUGCGUAGGUGGCGCGCUAAGUCAGGUGUGAAAUUUCGGAGCUUAACUUCGAAACUGCAUUUGAUACUGGUGUGCUUGAGGACUGGAGAGGAGACUGGAAUUUACGGUGUAGCAGUGAAAUGCGUAGAUAUCAAGAGGAACACCUGCGGCGAAGGCGGGUUGCUGGGCCGACACUGACGCUGAGGCGCGAAAGCCAGGGGAGCGAACGGG